rnacentral:rRNA from 1 species
AUUGAACGCUGGCGGCAGGCCUAACACAUGCAAGUCGAACGAGUGGCGGACGGGUGAGUAAUGUUUGGGAAACUGCUCGAUGGAGGGGGAUAACUACUGGAAACGGUAGCUAAUACCGCAUACCAUCGGAUGUGCCCAGAUGGUAUUAGCUAGUAGGUGGGGUAACGCCUCAACUAGGCGACGAUCCCUAGCUGGUCUGAGAGGAUGACCGGCCACACUGGAACUGAGACGCGGUCCAGACGCCGUCGGCAGGGAGCAGUGGGGAAUAUUGCACGAUGGGCGCAAGCAAAAUGCAGCCAUGGCGGGUGUAUGAAGAGGGCCAUCGGGUUGUAAAGUACUUGCGGCGAGGAGGAGUUACUCGCAGAAGAAGCACCGGCUAACUCCGUGCCAGCAGCCGCGGUAAUUC